GCUAAACAAGUUUUUAGAAAAUUACCAUAUAUAAUCUUUCUAUUAAUACGGACUUAGAGAUAUUAAAUACCCAAAAUAACAUUUACAUUAGUUCAGUUUUAGUAGAAUUACAUGUAUACAAUGAAAUAAGGAAAAAAAACUACUCAAUAAUAUUUUAAAUGUUCAAACUGAUUUUAAAAAUAAUAUCGUGUAUUAAUACAUUUUAGACAACAAAUAAUAACCAAAUAAUUUAUAUUCCUUAACAUAUCUAUGUCUAAUAAUAAAUAAUUUAAAAUAAUCUUUUCUAUUUAAAUAAAUUAUCUAUAUGUAAAACGACCAAUUCGUAUAAUUUUUUCUCUGUGUAUUCCUUAAUUUAUUUUUUUAUAUUUAGUCGCAUUUUACUCAGUGAAUUAGUGAUUUUACCUGCCGAAGAAUUUUUAAUUUAAAAUUUCUGAAGGAAAUUAAUUUUUUUGGCUUGAUUUUUUUACACACUCUGUCCCUAGAUAUAAGUAUUUUCCAAAGAGAAAGAAUGCUGCAGAAAGAAUAUCACCACAACACAGUGGAUUUUUGAAGGAAUUUGUCUGGUAAUUUUAUUAAUUAUAAGAAAUAUAUAACCUAACCAACUGUAAUAUAAUACAUUUAAAAUAAUUAUAAUUUUAUUGUUCUCAGCGUCAGACGCGUCGAUUAACUGAUGGAAUAAUUAAAAAAUGGCCAAUGAUCUCGUCGUUAUAAUAUAAAGUAUUAUUAAUUAAUUUUUGCAGUUCGACGAACAGGAACAUAAUUUUUAUAUGAAAUUAUAUCCAGCUUCUUUGUACCUGCAGUGUUCCGGAAUUUUAAUUUCACAAUAGUUAAUUUUGAGAAUGCACGAUGGCAUUGAUAAUAUUGAAAUAUUAUAUGAUGAUUAUUUAAAUUAAAAAAAAAAACAAAUCAUACUGCUGUUGAAGGAACUCAUCACCUCGUAAGUGGGAACUUGGGAAGGUAGGAUACAUAUAAUUAUUUAAUUUAUAUCUGUACGCAACGAUAAAAUAUUGUAAAUGAAAAACAAUUCUGAGCGAAGUUCGAUUAAAUAUCUCACACACGAACCUAUUCAGUAGGGCAUUAUCUUUUCGAAGAAAUAAACAAUAAUAAUAAUAAUAAUAUAUUUAGAAGUAUCGUAAUUUUUACAAAAUUUUAACGAUUUAAAUGAUUACUAUUGGCUAUUUUAUUAAAAUGCUGAUGGUAAUAUUUAUUGAUUAUUAUUGUUAUAAUUCGUAGUUGUUAUAAGUAUAUUGAUUAUUAUAAUAGUGCAUUCAGAUUAUUAAAAAAGUUGUUGAUUAUUAUGAUGCUGAAUUUAUUUUUAUUUUUAAAAUGAUCAUUAUUAUUAUUAAAAUUAUUCUUAUGCUUAUUAUGUUUAUUAUUGCUUCUUAGAGGUAGAAAAGUUAUCCACAGUAAUAAAAGAAUAUAAGAAUAACAAUGAUGACGAUAAUAAUAAUAAUGAGCAUUUUAAAAAUCAUAAUUUCAAUAAAAAGUAUAAUAGGUAAUAAUUAAUGUAAUGAUCCCUUAAAUAAUAAUAAUAAUGAGCA